CUACGGGUGGCACCAGUGGGGAAUAUUGCACAAUGGAGGAAACUCUGAUGCAGCAACGCCGCGUGGAGGAUGACACUUUUCGGAGCGUAAACUCCUUUUAUAUAGGAAGAAGAUGACGGUACUAUAUGAAUAAGCGCCGGCUAACUCCGUGCCAGCAGCCGCGGUAAUACGGAGGGCGCGAGCGUUACUCGGAAUCACUGGGCGUAAAGCGCGUGUAGGCGGAUUAAAAAGUCAGAAGUGAAAUCCUAUAGCUUAACUAUAGAACUGCUUCUGAAACUCUUAAUCUAGAAUAUGGGAGAGGUAGAUGGAAUUUCUGGUGUAGGGGUAACAUCCGUAGAGAUCAGAAGGAAUACCGAUUGCGAAGGCGAUCUACUAGAACAUUAUUGACGCUGAGACGCGAAAGCGUGGGGAGCAAACAGGAUUAGAUACCCCUGUAGUC
rnacentral:rRNA from 1 species